rnacentral:rRNA from 1 species
AUUGAACGCUGGCGGCAGGCCUAACACAUGCAAGUCGAACGAGUGGCGGACGGGUGAGUAAUGUCUGGGAAACUGCCUGAUGGAGGGGGAUAACUACUGGAAACGGUAGCUAAUACCGCAUACCAUCGGAUGUGCCCAGCUGGGAUUAGCUAGUGGGUGGGGUAAAGGCUCACCUAGGAGACGAUCCCUAGCUGGUCUGAGAGGAUGACCAGCCACACUGGGACUUAGAAACGGGCCAGACUCCUAAGGGGGGCAGCAGUGGGGAAUAUUGGACAAUGGGCGCAAGCCUGAUGCAGGCAUGCCGCGUGGAUGAAUAAGGCCUUCGGGUUGUAAAGUAAUUUCAGCGGGGAGGCGGUACCCGCAGAAGAAGCACCGGCUAACUCCGUGCCAGCAGCCGCGGUAAUAC